CCUACGGGUGGCAGCAGUGAGGAAUAUUGGUCAAUGGACGAGAGUCUGAACCAGCCAAGUAGCGUGAAGGAUGACUGCCCUAUGGGUUGUAAACUUCUUUUAUAUGGGAGUAAAAUGUUCCACGUGUGGGAUUUUGUAUGUACCAUAUGAAUAAGGAUCGGCUAACUCCGUGCCAGCAGCCGCGGUAAUACGGAGGAUCCGAGCGUUGUCCGGUUGUAUUGGGUUUAAAGGGAGCGUAGGUGGAGUGUUAAGUCAGUUGUGAAAGUUUGCGGCUCAACCGUAAAAUUGCAGUUGAUACUGGAAGUCUUGAGUACAGUAGAGGUGGGCGGAAUUCGUGGUGUAGCGGUGAAAUGCUUAGAUAUCACGAAGAACUCCGAUAGCGAAGGCAGUUCACUGGACUGCAACUGACACUGAGGUGCGAAAGUGUGGGUAUCAAACAGGAUUAGAUACCCGAGUAGUC
rnacentral:rRNA from 1 species